rnacentral:rRNA from 1 species
GACGAACGCUGGCGGCGUGCUUAACACAUGCAAGUCGAACGGAAAGGCCCUGCUUUUGUGGGGUGCUCGAGUGGCGAACGGGUGAGUAACACGCGAGUAACCUGCACUUGACUUUGGGAUAACUUCAGGAAACUGGGGCUAAUACCGGAGAGGAGCUCCUGCUGCACGGUGGGGGUUGGAAAGUUUCGGCGGUGGGGGAUGGACUCGCGGCUUAUCAGCUUGUUGGUGGGGUAGUGGCUUACCAAGGCUUUGACGGGUAGCCGGCCUGAGAGGGUGACCGGCCACAUUGGGACUGAGGUACGGCCCAGACUCCUACGGGAGGCAGCAGUGGGGAAUAUUGCACAAUGGGCGGAAGCCUGAUGCAGCAACGCCGCGUGCGGGAUGACGGCCUUCGGGUUGUAAACCGCUUUCGCCUGUGACGAAGCGUGAGUGACGGUAAUGGGUAAAGAAGCACCGGCUAACUACGUG